UACGUAGGGGGCAAGCGUUGUUCGGAUUUAUUGGGCGUAAAGAGCGUGUAGGCGGCCGGAUAGGUCAGCUGUGAAAACUCGAGGCUCAACCUCGAGACGUCGGUUGAAACCAUCUGGCUAGAGUCCGGAAGAGGAGUGUGGAAUUCCCGGUGUAGCGGUGAAAUGCGCAGAUAUCGGGAAGAACACCCGUGGCGAAGGCGACACUCUGGGACGGUACUGACGCUGAGACGCGAAAGCGUGGGGAGCGAACAGG
rnacentral:rRNA from 1 species